rnacentral:rRNA from 1 species
GCAAGUCGAGCGGUAACAGAGAGUAGCUUGCUACUUUGCUGACGAGCGGCGGACGGGUGAGUAACGCUUGUGAAUCUGCCUUUAGGUGGGGGACAACAGUUGGAAACGACUGCUAAUACCGCAUAAUGUCUACGGACCAAAGAGGGGGACCUUCGGGCCUCUUGCCUUUAGAUUAGCCCAAGUGCGAUUAGCUAGAUGGUAAGGUAAUGGCUUACCAUGGCGACGAUCUCUAGCUGGUUUGAGAGGAUGAUC